rnacentral:rRNA from 1 species
AGAUUGAACGCUGGCGGCAGGCCUAACACAUGCAAGUCGAGCGGCAGCACGGGUACUUGUACCUGGUGGCGAGCGGCGGACGGGUGAGUAAUGCCUAGGAAUCUGCCUGAUAGUGGGGGAUAACGCUCGGAAACGGACGCUAAUACCGCAUACGUCCUACGGGAGAAAGCAGGGGACCUUCGGGCCUUGCGCUAUCAGAUGAGCCUAGGUCGGAUUAGCUAGUUGGUGGGUAAUGGCUCACCAAGGCGACGAUCCGUAACUGGUCUGAGAGGAUGAUCAGUCACACUGGAACUGAGUACACGGUCCAGACUCCGUACGGGAGGCAGCGAAGGUGGGAAUAGUUGGACAAGUGGGCGAAAGCCUAGACUCCAGCCAGUCGCCGCGUGUGGUAGAAGUAAGGUUCUUACGGUAUUACGUAAA